GUUUAGUAGCCCGUGAAAAGUACAGACCAAAGCAGAACAAUUUACUUCUUUAAUAAUAAGACAUCCAAUCGAUUCAAGGGUGGACUGGGACCUCACUCUAGUGUAGGACGUAGCUGGAAGAAGAAAGGACCUGAAGUCUGAUGCUGUUCAUAAUGCACAGAACAAACCCUGGAAAAUCACCUUCCCUGUGCCUUACACCGGUGAGAUUCAAAGUAGCCGGCUGCCAAAACAUUUCCCUGUCCACAUGAAGUCUGGAAUGUGCGCCAGAACGGUAAUGGAGAAGGAAGAGCCAUUAUCGAAAAGAAGAUAAAAACGACACUGGAAAAAAACCAGCCUCAGUGAAAGAACUUCCAAAUUGAUUUUUUUGUUGUAUGUUUGUUUUACCAAAGCUGUAUGAAUAAAGUUAGCAGUGGAAAAGCGGUU